AACUCUCUACAGAUUUUUUUUGGUUUUGUUUUGUUUUCGUUGUUGUUGUUUUUGUUUGUUUGUUUGUUUGUUUGUUUUUUGAUACAGGGUUUCUCUGUGUAGCCCUGGCUGGCCUGAAACUCACUCUCUAGACCAGGCUGGCCUCGAACUCAGAAAUCCACCUGCCUCUGCCUCCCAAGAUUCUACAGCUUACAUUGCUAACUACAAAAAUCAGCAUAGAGAGUUUUUCCAAGACCAGUUCUGCAGUUAUCUGUGAUCAGCAGUAUCGGGGAUCACCUCGGAUCCAGAGCAUCUAUCUAGUCAAGGCAUGGGCAAUUGGUUUACUUUGUAUGCUGACUCCUCCUGCAGGGUUAGUCUGAAAGUAACUUCCGUCCUGCAAAGCCCCUGGGUAAGCUGGAUGUGAAUGGUGCAUAAGAAACAAGCCUUGUGGAAGGAAUCCCAGAAAAGUGGCGGAAGUUCUGAUGGAUUAGUUCACUGGAUUCACUGACACAUGAUGCUUGCAAAGGAACUGGAGGCCAGAUAAGUGUGGCAAGACUGACUUGAAGACAAGAAAACAGGUUAUUUAAGGUUUGGGACCAUGACUUGUUUGACAGUCUUCACAAAUUACAACAUCUCAGGCAGAGUUUUGUUCUAUUUGAAAAUCAUUAUGGACUACAAAUGUGAUCAGGAAGGAC
rnacentral:lncRNA from 1 species